GACGAACGCUGGCGGCGUGCUUAACACAUGCAAGUCGAGCGGAAAGGCCCUUUCGGGGGUACUCGAGCGGCGAACGGGUGAGUAACACGUGAGUAAUCUGCCCUUGGCUUUGGGAUAACCACCGGAAACGGUGGCUAAUACCGGAUAUGACGGGCUCCGGCAUCGGGGUUCGUGGAAAGUUUUUUCGGCCAGGGAUGUGCUCGCGGCCUAUCAGCUUGUUGGUGGGGUAAUGGCCUACCAAGGCUUCGACGGGUAGCCGGCCUGAGAGGGUGACCGGCCACACUGGGACUGAGACACGGCCCAGACUCCUACGGGAGGCAGCAGUGGGGAAUAUUGGACAAUGGGCGGAAGCCUGAUCCAGCAACGCCGCGUGAGGGAUGACGGCCUU
rnacentral:rRNA from 1 species